GUCCUGAAUGCAAGACAUGCUAUUCUGUGUCGACUUGGCACUGCCUAGCCCUUAUACUUCCUCAGCAGGAGAAUACCUCCACCAGAAAUCCAGAACCGUGCUGAGAAGACUAUCCUGAGCUCCUUCCCCAUCCCAGUGGAGAUGUUGUGCACGCAGAAACAAGAGAGCUCUUGGGAGCACCUAAUUGAGUCAGAAAGGAAUGGGAAGCAGUGAUGUAACGAAAAGCCAGUGCAGAAUGAAGCAAAAAGCAGCAGCUUCUACAGACCUACUCCUUCCGUGCUGCAUUUUGCAACAUAACCUCUUGGCCUGAGAGGCCUCCAGGUACCAAAGCUGGAGUGCUGUAGGAAGGUGUACUUUUAAUAGCGAGACAAAGAACAAAUCUACAGGGAAAAAAGAGGGAAGAUUGCAAUUCAGAUGAAGAAAUGACUUGAGUACGAGUGAUGGACGUAUGCCUAAUGAAAUCCUAGGAGAUGCUCCUUCCUCACAAAUAAUCUGGGUGCUGCUGAAGGCUGGAAGCUGCAGAGCUGUUGUCUAGAGGAGCUCGUGGUAUGUUUUCAGUUUGUGGUGACUGUUUCCAUAUCUCCCCAAAUAAAAGGGUUAUGAAGUACUGAGUGGAUACUCUGUUUUUUCUGUCUUCUAAGGGAUCUUGCUUUUCUUUCUUGCAUGUGAGUGGACGUGUUUACACCAGAGUGCAAUCAAAAUAGCCAACUGCAAGGAUGUGUUGAAGUCAAGCUCACAGCUGGUUUUAUUCACAAUUACACCUUUUGCAACAAGAGAGAUGAUAUUUCUAGAAAAGGAGGAAUGUAUAUUGAAAGGAGAAGAGUUAGAAGGUAACUGGAGCCAAACGGUAGAAACCCACAAGAGCUGCACUGGUUCAGGCGUUGUGUGGUCAGUGGUCACCGACCACAAGAUAUAUAUUUUUCAUUCCUCUUUAUUGUAGCAGAAUUUGAACACGACUUAAGGAAAAAACUAAGGUUUCUUGGGGCUUUAGGUACAAAACCUUUGUGUGGUCUUUUUCUGUAAGACAAAAUGAUUUUUAGAAUUAAAGUUCAGUUAAAAAUGAAUAAAUAAAUACCAUUUGCUUCCUCCCUCCUUCUCUCCUUCCUCUCUUUCUUUCCUUGUUUCUUUUCCUUCCAUCCUCCUUUCUUUUCUUCUUCCUUUUUAUGUAUUUAUUUAUUUAUUUUAAUUUCUAAGCUGUAGGAUAAAACUUGUGUGCUUGGCAGAACAAAUCCAUACGUAUUUCAGGGCAGUAUUUUGCAAUUUUUGCUUUAACAGCCCCAAGUAUCUUCUGAUGCCAAAGGGGAAGAGGACUUCAAUCCAGAUAAAAUAAGAUUCUUGAACACAGAAAACUGUACUCAGAUUUAUGGGCCAGAUCUAACGUUUGAGCUCCCAUGCCAAAAGCUGUGCAUUCCACAUGUGCAGCAUGGGGUGUUGCCUGACUGGCUGCUUCCAGGGUCAGAAUGCUGAGCACCCACCCAGUUACCCUGCAAUCCAUUCCAGUAAAUAAACUCGGAGUUUUGUUCUCAGAAUGUGUUUGCCAAAUGUUAUUUCCAUGUUUACUUUGCCUUUUAGCCUUAAAUCUUUUUAAAAAAAUAUUCUCUGGUAGUAUUUUUAUCCUGUAUCUUAUUUCACACCUCUUAAUAAGCUGAAUUCUUACCAAGCGAGCACAACAACAUCUGAAGAUGAAAUCUAUCUCUUUGAUGGCAUGAAACCAUGACCCAACAGGCCCACUCUUUGCCUGGAGGGCUCGCAGGAGAUUCAUGUUAGCUUAUUCAAUCCUUUAGAGACUCAGGUAUAUUUAUUCAUAAUGCAAGGUAUCUAGCAGACAUCACAAUUCUUUCCUCUUUGAGUUCGAAAGUAAUUUGCAAUUAAAAAUAUUUGCUAUUUUGCUCCAUUCCAGAAUAGUUUCAGUUGUCAUUUUCUUCUUUCUGUCUUUCCAAAUAGCUCAUUUGCUUCAAUCCUACAGGAUAUUUAAAUGAGGCUUUUCAGCUGUGUCUCACAGAAACCAGCAGGGCAUGCUGGUGCACAGAACUGUUCUUUAUCACCAACUAAAAAUAAACACACUCCUUUGUCUUCCUUUGGUAGCUGCCUGUGUAAGGUCCUGUUGGCCAAUUCACUUUCUGUGGAGAUUUCUACCACUCACUCACAUGUCAGGUUCUCAGAGGCUUCUAUCGCAUAGGAAGUGUUCUCAUGAUUUAAAAAAAAAUAAAGUGGAAGAAGUGAAAAGUUGCUACCACGUCAGCAGUGUCUUAACUCUCAAACAGGAUGGCAUGUAUCGGGCUGCCUAAAGCUUUAAUUAUUAAUCUUAUUUAUUACCAUUUUUAACAACUUUCAUUGUGAGCAUCGCAUUUUCUUGAGAGUAACGGUUUGCAUUUGGCUGUGGUUUCAAUUUGCCCCUUCCAGUUAUACCUGAAAUGUCAUCUGAAUACCGCUGUGGCAUAGGAAAGAAGGCAGUUUACUGCUCUGCUCCUGAACUGGUUUUCUCCUUCCAUCCAAAGCUGCAUUUUAAAGAACUUCCUUGUACGUUCUGGAGUUGUUUGCUGGCCAUUUAAACUUCACAUGACCAAGUUAAGCAAUUUUUUGUUCCUGCCCCCUCACUUCUCUCCCUGCUAAGGGCACUAUGCCAGGUAGAAUUGCUCAUUAUAACUCAUCAGGCACCUUUGGUGCCAUCCUUCCUUUCUCCAUUCAUUCCUCUGUUCAUACACUGGUCACUGUCCUUUCUCUGCUUCUGCUGCUGUGUCAUUCGUUGCAGUAAGAGAUGGCCUCUUCCCCUUCUCAGCACUGUAAGACCUUAUCUGGGCUCCUCUUGCCUGCCCUGCUUCCUUUGCUGCUUCUCUUCCAGCCCAGAAAACAAGGAGCUGCUAAGAAAAUUCCUCUGGUUCUUGACAAAAAUAUAUAAGCACUUUCUUUUAACUCCAUGUACAGAUUUCCUUCUGCUGCCUGAGUAAGUGUGAUGUCUCAUUCCUGCCAAUAUAACUCUCCCAUUAAUCCUUUUUUUUUCUCUUUUCUAUUUGCGAAUGGCACGACCUUCUGUUAAUCUGAGUUCUCCACAGCAGUUGGAAGAUUUCUUUAAAUAUUAUCUCGUAGGUGCAAAAAUAAUUCCCCAGACUGGCUUUCCAGGUCAUUAAUCCUUCCUCAAACUGCUCCUUGAUAGGUAAAUUUACUGCAGUAUUCCCACAAAGAAGUACAUUCCUGGGAAUUCCCAUGUGCAUAACUGUCAGAGAUAUGUCAAAACAUUGGCCUCUGCCAUGUGCAUGCGUUUCAGAAUUCCCUCAAACCCUAACACCAACACAGCUGUGUGGGAUGUUUAGUCACGGAGGUAAUCCUGGUAGCAUCAACAGAUUGAGUCAAGUGAAGCCACCCCUAUGUGGAGGAAUUUCACUAUUCCUGCAGUGUAGCUGCCAUGGGGCCUGGCAGCACAUCUAGAGAUGGGGAAAAGGAACAGAAUCCCCUUGAAGUCCCAGCAGCUCAUCCUUGCUUCUGUUGAUUGCAGAAGGACAACGUGUAAAUACUGGGGAGCUGUAACACUGUAAAAAUCUCAGUGUCAGCUGGAGAGGUUUGGAGUCAUGUGGGAUGCAGUUGUCUUGCUUUUGUGCGUGAUAAAAUAAUCUGUUACUCAUUUUGACUAAAAAUACAUUUAGUUUCUAUAGCUAUCGCUGUAGUUAGAGGUGGCUGUAAGCAGACUGCCUAGAUUUAUCCUGCAGUGUUUACUGAUACUGGUGGAGAACAGAGAUGGCUAAUUCAAAGUCUACCGUCUAAUCACUAAUUUCUUAAACUAUGGGCUACACGAGUUACUUCUCUACAAACAAUUCUUUCCCUGAUGUAUUUAUUUUCCUUACAGGGAAUUGCUUCAGAGGCACAAUACCUUGUUGUAAA